UACGUAGGGUGCAAGCGUUAAUCGGAAUUACUGGGCGUAAAGCGUGCGCAGGCGGUUUUGUAAGUCUGACGUGAAAUCCCCGGGCUCAACCUGGGAAUUGCGUUGGAGACUGCAAGGCUGGAGUCUGGCAGAGGGGGUAGAAUUCCACGUGUAGCAGUGAAAUGUGUAGAGAUGUGGAGGAACACCGAUGGCGAAGGCAGCCCCCUGGGUCAAGACUGACGCUCAUGCACGAAAGGCGUGGGGA
rnacentral:rRNA from 1 species